AUUGAACGCUGGCGGCAGGCCUAACACAUGCAAGUCGAGCGGAUGAAGGGAGCUUGCUCCUGGAUUCAGCGGCGGACGGGUGAGUAAUGCCUAGGAAUCUGCCUGGUAGUGGGGGAUAACGUCCGGAAACGGGCGCUAAUACCGCAUACGUCCUGAGGGAGAAAGUGGGGGAUCUUCGGACCUCACGCUAUCAGAUGAGCCUAGGUCGGAUUAGCUAGUUGGUGGGGUAAAGGCCUGCCAAGGCGACGAUCCGUAACUGGUCUGAGAGGAUGAUCAGUCACACUGGAACUGAGACACGGUCCAGACUCCUACGGGAGGCAGCAGUGGGGAAUAUUGGGCAAUGGGCGAAAGCCUGAUCCAGCCAUGCCGCGUGUGUGAAGAAGGUCUUCGGAUUGUAAAGCACUUUAAGUUGGGAGGAAGGGCAGUAAGUUAAUACCUUGCUGUUUUGACGUUACCAACAGAAUAAGCACCGGCUAACUUCGUG
rnacentral:rRNA from 1 species